UGCUCAGAUUUGACGCUGGCGGCAGGCUUAACACAUGCAAGUCGAGCGGUAACAGGAGAAGCUUGCUUCUCGCUGACGAGCGGCGGACGGGUGAGUAAUACUUAGGAAUCUACCUAGUAGUGGGGGAUAGCUCGGGGAAACUCGAAUUAAUACCGCAUACGACCUACGGGAGAAAGGGGGCAACUUGUUGCUCUCGCUAUUAGAUGAGCCUAAGUCGGAUUAGCUAGAUGGUGGGGUAAAGGCCUACCAUGGCGACGAUCUGUAGCUGGUCUGAGAGGAUGAUCAGCCACACCGGGACUGAGACACGGCCCGGACUCCUACGGGAGGCAGCAGUGGGGAAUAUUGGACAAUGGGGGCAACCCUGAUCCAGCCAUGCCGCGUGUGUGAAGAAGGCCUUUUGGUUGUAAAGCACUUUAAGCAGUGAAGAAGACUCCAUGGUUAAUACCCAUGGACGAUGACAUUAGCUGCAGAAUAAGCACCGGCUAACUCUGUGCCAGCAGCCGCGGUAAUACAGAGGGUGCAAGCGUUAAUCGGAAUUACUGGGCGUAAAGCGAGCGUAGGUGGCUUGAUAAGUCAGAUGUGAAAGCCCCGGGCUUAACCUGGGAACGGCAUCUGAUACUGUUAGGCUAGAGUAGGUGAGAGGAAGGUAGAAUUCCAGGUGUAGCGGUGAAAUGCGUAGAGAUCUGGAGGAAUACCGAUGGCGAAGGCAGCCUUCUGGCAUCAUACUGACACUGAGGUUCGAAAGCGUGGGUAGCAAACAGGAUUAGAUACCCUGGUAGUCCACGCCGUAAACGAUGUCUACUAGUCGUUGGGUCCCUUGAGGACUUAGUGACGCAGCUAACGCAAUAAGUAGACCG
rnacentral:rRNA from 1 species